UCCGCACCGCCUGGGUCCGCGUGUCUGCGAGUCAAGACCACUGUAGUCCAGUGUCGCGGGAGCAGACUGCCCGGGGCCUGGCCGGGUAUCGGGGCGCAGGUGCCUCUCCAAGCAACGCACCUCCUCGAGUUCACGGAUCCACGGGGUGCUGUGCGGGUAACCCCUUCUCGGGACACGAGGGUUCCGUGCGUCCGAACAGCAGACACGUGAGACAGCGGCCCAAAGUACAGGUGUGACGAGGCAGUCUGUGCCUAGUUGAAAACUUAGUCAGGCACACGCGGUGCCCGAUUUCGUACUAGAACAGGCAGCGCUCCUGUAAUCAAUGCACGCCGCGAAUGCUGGCCAGUGGACUCGCUGAGGUCAGGCUGGUGCCAUGGGUUCUUCACAGAUGAGCGGUCUCCUUCCUGUGUCAGCGGGCCUGAUGCGUUUCCAAGAUGGCAGUGGUGGCGGUGGCCCCAGGCUGGCACCCCUACACUCACCCCUGGUUUCUCGUGUGUUCAGCUGGUCAGUAACCCACGACUUCCUGCUGGAUGUGGGGACCCGCAAUGGAACUGUGCCCUAAAGGGGGUGCAUCUAGGAGGCGUCUUCAGGCCAAAGGCACCCCCUGCUCACAACACACUGACCCGUAGGAAGUAGGGAGCCGAGAUGUCCUGUCCAGACCCGACUUUCCAACACAAUGUCACACAAGACAGAAAAACUUUCUGUAGAUGUUUAUUCUACUUCAUGUAACAAAGCUAUGAAGUUCCAUGUUUAAAUGUACAGUGAUAUAAUACUUUGCAAUAUAAAAUACAAUUUACAGAAAUUUCUACCAAGUAAACCUAAAGAAACACA